GUCUCGACACGGUUAAAUGUGCACGCUUCAGUUGCGUGUCUCGAACUGAUUUCUGACUACCCUGCACUCGCUUUGAGUCGAUAAAUAGCCAUGGCACGUGCAAUUCUCUACAAAUAUAUCAACUAUUACAGCCGUAAAAAAUCUAUUGUUGACGAUUUGGAAUAGCAGUAAAAUUUUGCUUCUUGGUUAUUACAGCAGCUUUAUAUAUUCGAUGGAGCAUGUAUGAAAAAGACGAGAACGUAUAUUUCACUGAUGUGGCAGUGUUAUCAAUUACCAUAUGGCACCCAUGAUAAUACCAUGACGUCAAUAGUUUUUUGGCAGUGCAUGAUGGAAAUUCCACAAGAGAAAUAAAUAGAUGAAAGCAACAGGAUUUUUCCUUGUAUCUCAAGAAAAAAACCCCCAACUAGAUGGCAAAGGUGCUUAUGUGUAUGUACAGAAAAAGAUAUAACAAUAUUAUGCUGCCAGAAGCGUGUUGAAAGUAUUCUGUAGCAGGCAGAAACAUGUUAUUCUUGAUUCCUUCAUGGUAUUUAUAAUAAAGGAUUUUUUAAAUGGCAUACGUGCCUGAGUCGACAUAUUCCAAGAACUAUUUUCAAGACUUAAAAGAAAAGCAGAUGAUUUACUUAAUUAUCUGAUGUAGAAUUUGUUAAAGAAUGAAAAACAUUUUUUUUUUGUUGUAAUUUUAGGUUAAUUAUUCAAGGUGAGGUUUAUGAAUAGUUUUAAUUCCAUUAAUCUAUUUCACUUGUCGUCAUUAUCAUAAGUAUCACUGUACACUGGGUGUUCUUAAUCCUGAUAUAACAGUUCUAUAUACAUUUCUUAGAACAAAACACAAAAUGAAAUGAAAUGAAAUGGGGUUGUUUAACGUCCUACCUUUCUGCUCCUAUGCUGGGCUAAUGAAGACGGGCAUACGCCAUACAGUUUGCUAUGAGGGAAAUUUUGCCUGGGCAGCGACACUAUCGCCAACUCUUAUAUCGAAUUCCAACUGCCAAGGGAUCUUUUACGUGCAUUCCAAUGUAUACACGGGACCUCGGUUUUUUGUCUCAUCCGAAGGACUAGACAGCUGUCCUAGUCAGGCCCUCUGUCCUGCAUCACUGACAAGGGGGGAACCACGCCUGAAAAUCUGGAUGAACUUUCUCGGCCAAUGCAGGAAUCGAACACCCGAUCUCCAGGCUAGCGAGCCAGCGUCUUACCCACUUAGCCACAUGAUCCCCCAGAACAAAACACAUUAAAUCUUUAUUCUCAUGGAUAUAAAAUGAAAUGGGGUUUAACGUCCUACUGUUCUGCUCCAAAUAUUCUCAUGGUAAAAAGAAAAAAAUGAAAUGAAACAAGGCUCAACAUCCUACUGUUCUGGUCAGAGACGGGCGAUAUACCAUACAGUGUGCUAUGAGGGAAAUGUUGCCCGUACAACAGCACUAUGGUCUACUCUUAUAUCAAAAUCAAACUGUCAAGGGCUCUUUUACGUGCAUGCAAAUGUGUAGACAGGACCUUGUUUUUUUGUCCCAUCCAUAUGACUAUACCUUGUCCUUUGCCAGGCCCUCCAUCGUGCAUCACUGACAAUGGGGAACCAUGUUGGAAAAUCACGAUGAACUUUUUCGGCCAACUGGGGGACUCGGAGAAAACCCACAAGGUUGGACAGGCAACCCUACUCAUUGUCACAUAUAACCCGGAAAUCGAAACCACGCCAGUUGACUCAGCAACAGACCUUAUGAUACAAAACACGCGAU